rnacentral:tRNA from 4 species
GCGAACGUAGCUCAGUUGGUAGAGCACCACCUUGCCAAGGUGGAUGUCGCGAGUUCGAGUCUCGUCGUUCGCUCCA